CACACAUGUGUCUUGCCAUUUCUUUUGGCUUUUUUCUUAAGAGUUGAAGUCACAAGGUAAGUGAUAAUUUUUAAAGGCUAAUUAAGAACCUUUCUGCAUAUAUCCUACUUAAUUAGCUUCUGUCAACCUUGAUUAUACUCAUUUUAAAAAUUACAUUUUACUUAUGUGUAUUCUGCUUGUAUGAAUAAUGUGAAAUAACAGAGGGCAGCUAUUGUUCUGAGCCUUUCCAGUGAAUCACUACUACUUUGCAAUAACAGAAUGAUCAAAAUAACAUAAAUGCUAACUAGAGACUCUUUAAUAUGAAUUUACUUCAUGCUGAUAAACUCCUAUAAUUGCUGUGCAUGUUUAAGGGUGGGAAGGUAUUUUUCUUUGGCGUGAUAGCUCCCAGUGGCUACUUUGUAAUUUCGUAAUGUGAAGGUGACCAGUAAGGAGGCAAGCCUCUCAAAUUCUAAUGCUUCUCAAAUUCCGGUGUGUAUCAGACUUGCCUUUGGAGCCUGUUAAAAAUUCAGAUCCCCCAUACUUACCUGAACCUGUGUCACCCUUAUCCUGAAUGAAUCCUUAUCUUAUCCUCUCAGACCCUUAGUAUUUUCAUGUACAAAAUGGGAAAUCAGUCCACAUUAAAGGUAGUCGAGAGUUUAAAACAAAAUAAUUAGUGCAAAAGUCUUAGCACAAUACCAAACCUAGAGUACCUACGUAGUCCUAAAAUUCCGAAUCAUUUUUUUUCUCUUGGAAACUCUUAAGUAAAAGAUUCUGAUUCAGUGAAUCUGGUGCUGGGCCUGGCAAUCUGUAUUUUAAAAUCCAGGAGCUGUUUGCCCUGGUAAUCCUGUUGCAGGUGAUCUGGGAACUCUGGGAAUUAAGUAACUAUUGAGAAAUUCUUAACCCUUGUCUCUAGAGAUUGCAUCCGAGUCCUGGCUCUACAUCACAAUUAGCUGCAGCACUUUUAAGACUAUGAAUUUCUAGGCUUUACUCCCAGACAUUCUAACACUGCGUGUCUGGCAAGGAGCUCAAGAAUUAAUGAGAGUUUUUUAAAUUCCACAAGUGACUUUGAUAUUAGCCAGAGUUGUGAAUCAUUACUUAAAAGUCUUCAAGUAUUUUUGUCCAUCUUCAUAGUAGAAAAAAAUUCAGCACAUACGUAUCUAUAGGAUAUGAAUAUCUAUUUGAUAUAGUUUGGACAUGUGUCCCCUCUAAAUCUCAUGCUGAAUUGUAAUCCCCAGUGUUGGAGGUGCAGCCUGGUGGAAGGUGAUUGGAUCAUAGGGGCAGAUUUCUCAUGUAUGGUUUAGCACCAUUCCCCUUGGUACUGUCCUUGUGAGAGUGAUUUCUCAUGAGAUCUGGUCACUUAAAAAUGCGUAGCACUUCCCCCCACCCCCACCCUCUCUCCUCCUGCUUCCGCCAUGUGAGAUGCCUGCUUCCCCUUCACCUUCCACCAUGAUUGGAAGCUUUCUGAGGCCUCCCUAGAAGCUGAGCAGAUACUUCCUGUACAGCAUGCAGAACCAUGAGCCAGUUAAAUGUCCUCUCUUUAUGAUUUACCCAGUCUCAGGUAUUUCUUUACAGCAAUGCAAGAACAGCCUAAUUAUGCAGCCUAUAUUUAUAAAAUAUUAGGAUGGUGAAAAAGUAAUUGCAGUUUGCCAUUGAAAGUAAUGUAGGCAUAGCUUCCAGUUUCCCAUUAAAAGUAAUGGCAAAACCACAGUUACUUUUGCACCAACCUAAUAUAAGCCAUUUUUACUAUACUAUGUACUACAGAUUUAGAAAACAUACAAAAAUGGAAAUUCUUAAAAUAUAAAACAAAAAUAAACUUGUUAAAAUUUUUUUGUUUCUAAAUGGAAUCAAACUCUGUCAGUGAAAAUAUUAUUCUUAAUGAAAUUCCAGAAGCUUAGUUCUUAAAUGUCUGCUAAGCUCGUUAAGAUGACUUCAUCACGCCUCUAGUUACACUCUCAUGGCAUACUACACGCACUUUACAUCUCAAAAUAGUUCAAGGCACCGUACAUUUAAUAUGUAGCUAUGUAUCUGAAAACAUGCAUUAUUAUUACUUUUUUUUUUUUUUUUUUUGAGACGGAGUCUUGCUCUGUUGCCCAAGCUGGAAUGGAGUGGCAUGAUCUCGGCUCACUGCAAGCUCCGCCUCCCGGGCUCAUGCCAUUCUCCUACCUCAGCCUCCUGAGUAGCUGGGACUACAGGCGCCUGCCACCACACCCAGCUAAUUCUUUUGUAUUUUUAGUAGAGACAAGGUUUCACCAUGUUAGCCAGGAUGGUCUCGAUCUCCUGACCUUGUGAUCUGCCCACCUCGGCCUCCCAAAGUGCUGGGAUUACAGGCGUGAACCACUAUGCCUAGCCAAAAACAUGUAUUUUUAAUGAUAGUGGAUAUAAAGUCAUAUUUCAAAGACCCUUCUUGAUCAUUGUAAUCUUUUUGGCCGACUGCUUAUUAGAUCUGAUUAGAUUGUCACUGUUUUUACCUUGCAAUGUGCCCGAUGAAGAGCCUGUACUAGGAGUCAAAGAGGUGUUGACUCUGACAUUUUCUUCUUGUCUCCUUGUGUUUGUAUUAUUAGUAUUAUUUCUAACUGGCAAGUUUUUUGCAGGAAUCUUUUGGAAGCCAUUAUGAUGCCUACCAGAGGAUCUUAAGGUUCUAUGAAAUAUUCAGACUCUUGGACUAUCUCAGGCCACACUUGGCUUCAGAUUUAUUCAGAUAGACAUAGGCUAGGAGUCACAGCCUGCCAGAGGACAGAGCUAGGCUUUGCUCUCCUGGAGUCCUUGCUUCAGUUGCGGGGAUGGCCUCUGUCCUCCCUGUGUGAUAGCUCAGGUUCAAGAAUAUGACAUCCUCCACAGUGGCUUAUUUCAGAAUCUGCCCUGGUAGCCAACAUCUCAUAUAACAACUCUGUAGGCAUAGCUUCCAGGUUCCCACGGAGACAUACUCAGCUCUAAGAGUUACCACACUCAACCAAAAGCUAAGAACGUAUAGUUCUUUGAGUCCAGUUGUAGCCUUUUACUCAGUCAUUUUCACAGUAAGCAAUGUUGCCUAGCAACAUAUUUGACACAUUACCUUUCUAGGCACUCUGAAGAAAGAGCUUGAAAGCUAACAAAAAGUCAAGUUUUUAUGCAGAAGGAGAAAGAGUUUGCUAACCCUUUAUUCAUACCAAUUUUGUGGUGAUUUGCUUAGUUAAAACCAGAAGCUAUAAUCUUUAAAUUCAUCUAACUGGCACAGGUAGCAUACAUCAGACUGCAGUUUUCUGAAAGCAAACAAGUAAGAGGGUCACAGUCACUUAGCACCUUAAUCCUUACCUCACUGUUCUCAUCAGCAUUACAAUUCAAUAACAAAAGGUGUAAAUUUAUUUUUACUUUCUGCUCCAAUUUCCUGUAGAGCAGGGAUCAUGCCUGACUUGUUCAUUGUUCUUGUUCACUAUCCCCAGUGCCUAGCAUUGUGCCCUGCACAUAAGAACUCAAUUAACAUGUAUUAAGUAAAUGAAUAUAUGCCUAAUAUAACCAUAUAUAUCUGAGAUUGCCAGUAUAAUGCCAAGCAAACUAGAGAAACAUGAUACUUACAUUUCUAAAGUAUAUAAGGAAUGUGUAUCAUUAUCUAAUCCUAAAGAUGACAUUGUUAUCAACAUCAUUACAUUUGUUGAAAAUCAUAUAUUAAGCACCUAUUUUGUCAGUCAACAGACAAUGGAAAAGAAGAUAGAUAGGAUCCAAGACCUAGCAAAGACUGUAGUCUAACGGGCAAGACAGAUAUUCAAGGGUUUGGAGUUUAAACAUAUCCUCAAAUCAAAGGAGACCAAUGUCAAGAAUCCCUCUCUUCUCCAUAGUAUGAAGGAGGUUGAAAAUGACAAGUGUUGCACAUUGAUCUAAGCCAAUUCAUAUAAAUAAUUACAUCCAUUAAAUCAAAUAAUUUCAAAUAGGCUAAACAGGGUGUUGUGAAAGCAUAUGACGAGGGCCCUGAAACCUAGUCUGGGGAGGUAGGAAGUCUUCCCUGAGAAAGACAUUAAGACUGAGAUCUAAGCAACCGGUUAGCAGGCAAAGGCUGAAGGUCUGGAGGUCUCAGACAGAGGGAACAGCACGUUCAAAGACCUUAAGGCAGGAGCCUAAGGAAAAAUACCGGAGAACAGAGUCUAGUGGGGCUGGAGCAGACAUAUGAGAUAAGGCUGAAGAAAGAAGCAGGAAGUAGGUCUUGCAAGGCUCUGUAGACAAUUUUGAACUUUACUCGGAGUUCAAUGGAAGGUCCCUAAGCAGGGGAAUUAUGUGUUUUGACUAUAGUGCUUCCUGGCUCUAGUAACUACAAUUACAUUGGAAUAAACCACGUAAGCCUUUCCUUCUCUGAAUGACUUUUAUUUGAUUUUUAUUUGUAAUUUAUUUUGCAGUUUUCUGAACCAUAAAAUAUCUCUGCCCUUUGUAAAUUACUGAGUGAUUCUUCCUGAACCUUGUAAAGUUUAGCUGGAGGCAUUCUGAUACUUGUGUUCAUCAGAUUUUCCCUGACUCUAAUCAAAAAGCCAUAAUUCAAUGUCUGAUUGUUCUCAGUAGGGAGUAUUACCUUAAAAUAUUAUUUACUCCUUUUGGUAGCAAUUUUUUAAUCAAAUAUUAAAGUUGCAGAAAUUAAUCUCAUCCCUUCCACCAUGUGAGGACGCAGCAAGAAGACACCAUCUAUGAACCGGAAAAAAACAGGCCCUUACCAGGCACGAAAUCUGCCAGAGCCCUGAUCUUGGUCUCUCCAGUGUCCAGAGUUGUGAGGUCAAGAAUGAUGAGAAAUAAACUUCUGUUGCUUUUAACCAGUCGGUUUACAGUACUUUGUUACAGCAACCCAAAUGUACUAAGACACCCCUUUGUCUCCAGGGAACCUGUACUUUGAUUAAAUCUGGAUUUACUUGUAACAAAAUAAAGAAAUUCUCUUCGUUAGCAGUGUAA
rnacentral:lncRNA from 1 species